rnacentral:rRNA from 1 species
CCUACGGGAGGCAGCAGUGAGGAAUAUUGGUCAAUGGCCGGAAGGCUGAACCAGCCAUGCCGCGUGAAGGUCAGUGCCCUAUGGGCGUUAAACUUCUUUUGUGCGGGAGCAAUAAUGGUCACGUGUGGCCAGACGAGAGUACCGUACGAAUAAGCAUCGGCUCACUCCGUGCCAGCAGCCGCGGUUAUACGGGGGAUGCAAGCGUUAUCCGGAUUUAUUGGGGUUAAAGGGUGCGUAGGCUGUGAGGUAAGUCAGCGGUGAAAUGCCCCCGCGCAACGGGGUGAAGUGCCAUUGAUACUGCCUUGCUGGAAUGCGGAUGCCGUGGGAGGAAUGUGUGGUGUAGCGGUGAAAUGCAUAGAUAUCACACAGAACACCGAUUGCGAAGGCAUCUCACGAAUCCGCGAUUGACGCUGAUGCACGAAAGCGUGGGUAUCAAACAGGAUUAGAUACCCCUGUAGUC